rnacentral:rRNA from 1 species
AUUGAACGCUGGCGGCAGGCCUAACACAUGCAAGUCGAGCGAGCGGCGGACGGGUGAGUAAUGUAUGGGGAUCUGCCCGAUAGAGGGGGAUAACUACUGGAAACGGUAGCUAAUACCGCAUACUAUCGGAUGUGCCCAGAUGGGAUUAGCUAGUUGGUGGGGUAAAGGCUCACCAAGGCGACGAUCCCUAGCUGGUCUGAGAGGAUGACCAGCCACACUGGGACGGAGACACGGUCCAGACUCCUACGGGAGGCAGCAGUGGGGAAUAUUGGACAAUGGGCGCAAGCCUGAUGCAGCCAUGCCGCGUGUAUGAAGAAGGCCUUCGGGUUGUAAAGUACUUUCAGCGGGGAGGCGUUACCCGCAGAAGAAGCACCGGCUAACUCCGUGCCAGCAGCCGCGGUAAUUC